rnacentral:lncRNA from 1 species
GGGACCUCUGUCCUCGUAUUAUUUUCUCUGUUGAAUUCAUCCCUACCAGUUGCUGAGCCCUUUAUUUGCACACAUCAGCCUUUUAGGAAGGAUCUCCAGGAAUCCUGUGGGGAGAGGCUGGUGCUGGGGGAAGACAGAGGAAUGCCUGGAGAGGACAGAAGUGAGGACUACACCUGUUGGUCUGGAUUGCAGCUGGAAUUGGAAGGGAAAUGCAUUUCCAUUGAAGGAAGAAGUGUAAGAGUGAGCAGGCAGGUGUCAGCGGAUCUCAAGAGAAUAAUGUCAACUGGAUGAUGGCUUAGAGGUAGGAGGAGGCAGAUCAGCUAGGCAGAUGUGCAGAAGUUAAGUGUGGUUUCAUGCAGA